UACAGAGGUGGCAAGCGUUGUUCGGAUUUAUUGGGCGUAAAGAGCGUGUAGGCGGCCAGGUAGGUCUGCUGUGAAAACUCGAGGCUUAACCUCGAGCUGUCGGCGGAAACCAUCUGGCUAGAGUCCGGAAGAGGAGAAUGGAAUUCCCGGUGUAGCGGUGAAAUGCGCAGGAUAUCGGGAAGAACACCCGUGGCGAAGGCGGGUAGCUGGGCCGACACUGACGCUGAUGCGCGAAAGCCAGGGGAGCGAACGGG
rnacentral:rRNA from 1 species